CUUUUUGGUGAAAGUAAAAAGUAGGGUCUGCCCAGUGAGUAAUUUUAACGGCCGCAAUAUUUGUGCGAAGGUAGCAUAAUCAUUUGUCUUUUAAUUGAUGACUGGAAUGAAUGGCUGGACGGGGAUAAGCUGUCUUAUGUAUAUAUAUUUGAAAUUUACUUUUAAGUAAAAAGGCUUAAAUAUUUUAGAGGGACGAGAAGACCCUAUUGAGUUUAAUAGAAUUUAUUUAAAUUUUUCUUAAAUUUUUAUGUAAUCUAUUUAGUUGGGGAGAUUUGAUAUUAUUAACUAUAUAAGAAUUAAUAGACUUUAAGUUUUUAGGAUCCAUAUUUUAUGAGUGUUAAGGUAAAUUACCUUAGGGAUAACAGCGUAAUAUUUUUUUAGAGUUCAAAUCGAUUAAAAUGAUUACGACCUCGAUGUUGGAUUAAGGAACCUAAUUUGGAGAAGAUUUUAAUUUAGGUAGUCUGUUCGACUAUUAAAUCUUUAC
rnacentral:rRNA from 1 species